AUUGAACGCUGGCGGCAGGCCUAACACAUGCAAGUCGAGCGGAUGAAGGGAGCUUGCUCCUGGAUUCAGCGGCGGACGGGUGAGUAAUGCCUAGGAAUCUGCCUGGUAGUGGGGGAUAACGUCCGGAAACGGGCGCUAAUACCGCAUACGUCCUGAGGGAGAAAGUGGGGGAUCUUCGGACCUCACGCUAUCAGAUGAGCCUAGGUCGGAUUAGCUAGAUGGUGGGGUAAAGGCCUACCAAGGCGACGAUCCGUAACUGGUCUGAGAGGAUGAUCAGUCACACUGGAACUGAGACACGGUCCAGACUCCUACGGGAGGCAGCAGUGGGGGAUAUUGGACAAUGGGCGAAAGCCUGAUCCAGCCAUGCCGCGUGUGUGAAGAAGGUCUUCGGAUUGUAAAGCACUUUAAGUUGGGAGGAAGGGCAGUAAGUUAAUACCUUGCUGUUUUGACGGUACCAACAGAAUAAGCACCGGCUAACUUCGUG
rnacentral:rRNA from 1 species